UGGCGGCGUGCCUAACACAUGCAAGUCGAACGCGGUUAUCCCGCAAGGGAUAACUGAGUGGCGAACGGGUGAGUAACGCGUGGGUGAUCUACCUUCGAGUGGGGGAUAACGUCCCGAAAGGGACGCUAAUACCGCAUGACAUCCUGCCUUUGAACAGGCGGAGAUCAAAGCCGGGGAUCGCAAGACCUGGCGCUUGUUGAGGAGCCCGCGUCCGAUUAGCUAGUUGGUG
rnacentral:rRNA from 1 species